GGGGGCGUAAAAGAAAGGGGCGGGGCGUAAAGCGAAAAGGGGUGGAGCCUAUGCGAGGUGCGCCGCGAAAAGGGGCGGAGCCUAUGCGGGGCGCGACGAAAGAGGCGGAGCCAUGGGGCGUGGCGUCACUAAAGGGGCGGGUCAUGUGGAGUACUGCUGCAAAGGGGGCGGGGCCACCGCUCGAAGCCAACGAAAAUGCAUUUGAUAAAUACGAAGUUUGCCUGGCUGCAGCAGGGAGCUUGGGGAGCACUUUUGGAUUGGUUAAAGAUUCAGCAUAAUGCAGCCAUAAGUAAAAGGCUAUAACCAGACAAGCCUGAUGCAGCCAAAUACCAUGUGGAAAUUAGCCAAGGAGAAAAAACAAACUGUACCAUUUCUAUAUCACUUCUGGCACUUUAUUGACCCUGUGUGAAAAGAAGUUUUGAACGUGACUUUAUACAGCUCAGUAAUAGAGUCCGAAACAAUAUGCAGCUCAGGCCCGUAUGCCAUCAUCCCUAGAGAAUGUAUAUACGGAUGGACCAUCAUAAAGACUCUCCCCGUCAGUGCUCAGGUCGUCGUCAUCAUCAUCCUCAAGGUCAUUAACCAUUCGGCUUGGAGAACUCUUGCGUCUGCUAUUGGAAUAAAUAACAUAGAUGUGAGAUUAUUGUUUAGAUUUUUCAUUUGCCGUUUUUAAGGGCUGUACAAUGCCAAACAGCUAAUGGGUGGCCAUCGGGAUGGCUGCUAUGCAAUUCUCAGUGACAAGUUAAAGGAAAUAAAUAAUCUAUAUCUUUACUCUGCAUCUUGAUUUGCUGUAGAACUUCCAGUCAACCCAACAGCCAUUGUGUAAUGUCAAUUUAAUAUGGAGAAGUUACAUAGUUAUUGAAGCUAUAUAAAACAAAAAUACAUAUCCAUAAAAAAAACUUUCACUUCCAUAAUCACUAAUCUUCAGCGUGAAAGACAGUUCCUUUCUGACUCCAGAAUGGUAAACUUUGCACCUUUUGUUACAUUGUCAUUGAAGAUCUGCCAUUUGGCAUUAUGUUGGGACUUGCAUAUCAAUUUAACUACAUAGGCCUACAGUACGGUUAAUAAAAUACACAGGGUGUCCAUGGACUAACAAAUUACUAUAGGUAAUGUACAAGAAAUUGUUUUCUGAUUGCUAAGUAAUUGAACUCUGCAUUCCAAUCAGUUAAGUAAAGUUGUUAUAGUGUGUCAAUAAGAAUUUUGAAAGUCACAUGUUAAUUCCAGAAUGAAAUUCUUCAGCAGUUUCUAUAGGUUGCAGGUUAAUUUAAAAUGUACAGAAGGGGAGGGUUCCCCUCUCAUUAGCUGCCUUGGCUUCUCUACGGUUCAAUUUGUAUUGUUGUUGACCUGUUGUAUUUUGACUACUAUAUUACACAAGAAUAGAUUUCUAAUUUUACAAGCAACAAGUAUACCUGCUGCAUUAAUAAUACAAAGACACCAGUUACCAUCA